GCGAGCGUGGCGGAAUUGGUAGACGCGCUGGUUUUAGGUACCAGUAUCGUAAGAUGUGAGAGUUCAAGUCUCUCCGCUCGCACCA
rnacentral:tRNA from 1 species